ensembl:lincRNA Rmst rhabdomyosarcoma 2 associated transcript (non-coding RNA)
UUCUGCAUGGGCUUCUGGGCAGGCAGCACUAACACUCAGGAGAAGGUCUGCCUCUGUCUGCGCCUUCCUGGUUCAAUGCAGGCAGAUGAGUGUCACAGAUGUAACUGAGGCACUGAAUAAUCAACAUAUCGGAGCCAAUUCCCAGGACGGCAAGAGGGGGAACCGGCAGAGAUGACUGACCCUGGAGGACAAGAGCAUUCUUCUGACAAGUUUUAGCAUGGACUAUCCUCAGGAAAAUGAGAUCCAGGAAGAGUGACGCCCUCCUCGAACUGAAAGAUACUCAGGCUGAUGGAGUCAGGGACGAAGUGGCUUAUCAACAACACAGGAUGUCUGCAGGGAACAGAACUUAUUCAGACAUGGCCCAGAUUGUCUGCCCGUGGGGACUGAGGGACCUCUGAGGGUUACAUCAGGAAGGAGAGGCUGUUUCUACAGGUGCCACAGAAAAAUCGAUGCUGAGCCUCGGAUUAUUGGAUCCCAUAGAACCGUGGAGACUUGGCAGUGAAAUUCUUCCAAAGCAUUCCAUCUGCGCAGGCAGGCAGAGGUUUUCCUGGUUUGGGAAGUAUAAAUCCCGUGGGAAGUCAACUGGAGGACAUUUUACGCGUCACUCAUCCUAUUAUGAGCCUGCUGCUCCUCCGUCUCUUGACAAGGCCACCAACUAGAAGGGCACAGAAUUGUUCAUAAAACAGCUGAAUGUGAAUGUCUUUGGAUUCCCAUUUAAUGAGUUGGCAGCUAAAGGACAGGAGCAGCAAUAAGGCUUCCUGGCUACAUUUUCAUGGUGCCACCAACUGCGAG